AUCAAAUGAUGAUUCUAUUAUAUUUGCUACUUCGGACGUUGUUUUUGCAGCGAAUGAGAUAUACUAUUUAUCACCAAGAUCUCUGAUGAU
rnacentral:snoRNA from 1 species